rnacentral:rRNA from 7 species
CACCUGACCCCAUGCCGAACUCAGAAGUGAAACGCCGUAGCGCCGAUGGUAGUGUGGGGUCUCCCCAUGCGAGAGUAGGGAACUGCCAGAC